rnacentral:rRNA from 1 species
GAUGAACGCUAGCGGCAGGCUUAACACAUGCAAGUCGAGGGGUAUUGGUUUUCGGACCAAGAGACCGGCGCACGGGUGCGUAACGCGUAUGCAAUCUACCUUUUGCAGAGGGAUAGCCCAGAGAAAUUUGGAUUAAUACCUCAUAGUAUAGUACUUUGGCAUCAAGGAACUAUUAAAGUCACAACGGCAAAAGAUGAGCAUGCGUCCCAUUAGCUAGUUGGUAAGGUAACGGCUUACCAAGGCUACGAUGGGUAGGGGUCCUGAGAGGGAGAUCCCCCACACUGGUACUGAGACACGGACCAGACUCCUACGGGAGGCAGCAGUGAGGAAUAUUGGACAAAUGGGCGCAAGCCUGAUCCAGCAUGCCGCGUGCAGGAUGACGGUCCUAUGGAUUGUAAACUGCUUUUAUACAGGAAGAAACACUCCGACGUGUCGGAGCUUGACGGUACUGUAAGAAUAAGGAUGGCUAACUCCGUGCCA